GGAGAAACUGUUUUAGGAGGAAUAUGCCAAUUUUUUAAAGCUGAAAUGAUCUGUUACAAAAUUUUGUUUUCUUUCUCAGACAAACUAAUUAGAACAACAAAAAAAUAUACUUGGUCUUUUCAUUGUUGGCAGCUCCAGCCAAGCUACAAAAUAGUUGAAGCAUCUCGCCCCUUCCUCUCAACCCAUCUAUAGAUAAUGUGCAGUUCAAAAAUUAUGCAUAAUUCUGUGCAGAAAAGCUUUUGGGGAAC